rnacentral:misc_RNA from 1 species
CCCCAUGGAACACGAUCUGCCGUUACAGGAACUCUGACCUGCAACAUUCGGCUCGACGUGGUGCUGAUGAGAGCAGAACAUCGAUUUCCGAAUGGUGUUUCAGAUAAAAUUAAUGGAGCAGGUCACGUACAGGUAGCGGUAACAAUCUCGUCACAUUCUCUACGAACUGUGAAAAUAUCUUUUAGCGUUAGAAAGCUCGGGUCGUGGAUGGUCGAAAGAAGGGACCCGUCUUCAAAUUUUCAUAUUUCAAUUUUAUUCCCGUUUUAGCAAGCAAACAGGAUUCUUCGCUGUAAGAAGAGAUUUAACGUAAAAUUGAAAUAUGCGAAGAUAUUCCUUAAUGUUAGGGAAACAUAAUUGCGUCGAAAAUGAUGAUCGAAAGCAAGAUCAAGAUAUAAAAUAGUAUAGAAUAAUUUAGCUGUUUAUCGGGAAAAUUUUACUCGUCUAAAAUCGUUCAACGGAUAAUCGAAAUCCGAUUUAGCUAAACAUCGCACGAGUGGAUGGCGAAAAAUUAUCGUCUUCGAAAGUUUGAGGAGCCAUGAAGCAGAUCAAAGACUCCCUCCCUUUUCAGAGACUCUUUCCUAAAGUACAGGUAGCUAAGUAAACAUUUGGAAUGUUUGAGAGUGGAAUUUUCCUCAAUGAAUGACUUACUUGCGUUACGCGUAAUAUACAGAAAAUUU